rnacentral:pre_miRNA from 11 species
CCUGUGAGAACUCUGAGGAUAAGACCCUAUCAAUAUUGCCUCUGCUUCUGUGCUGGAUUCAAGUAGUGCAAUAUUGCUUAUAGGGUCUUUUCUUUGGGGAGGCGCUCUUCGUGGG